UGUGUGUUCCUUCAGGGCGUUUUUUUUUGGGUUUUGGUGGGAUACUAAUUUCAUCAACUUCUCCAUCCAGAAAUAAGGGAAUGAUGGACUGUUUGUACGCAAAAUAUGAGCUGUUUGGAUAGGAUUGUGAAGGAUCUCCCCGAUUUGAAAGACCACCUUUGUGUACACAAAGGGACACCUGCUGAUGACUGUCUUGUGGACAGAGUUACUCUGCACAAGUGCUUCAUAGUGGCUUACUUGUGACAGAGAUCUAAAGCGAAGGUUUCUCAAGAAUGUUAACUUCAUUAUGUUUUAAAGCUAGUAAUCAUGUAUGUGACGCAAUGCAAGUACUCAAUAGAGAAGUUGCCUGAAGCAAGCAACAAUCAUGUAUGUGGGGCUCCAAGAUACUGAUAAAGGAACAAAGACCCAUAAUGAUUCAAGAAGAUUUUUGGGAAGCCUUAGUUAGUGUUGGUUUAAGCUCUUGCGCUGUUGUAUUAUGCGAUAUUGAGCCAUUUUUUGUUUUAUUCUGUCCUCUAUUUGAUAAUGUUAUUGCACUUGUAAGCUAAUAUAACACAUUUCUUUAAGCUAAUAUAAGACAUUUCUUUUCU